ensembl:misc_RNA Metazoa_SRP Metazoan signal recognition particle RNA
GCUGGGCGUGGUGGCGCGCGCCUGUAAUCCCAGCUACUCAGGAGGCUGGGGCAGGAGAAUCACUUGAACCCGGGAGGCAGAGGUUUCAGUGAGCUGAGAUUGCGCCACUGCACUCCAUCCUGGGUGACGAAGUGAGAUUCCGUCUCAA